GUCCACGCCGUAAACGAUGGAUACUAGCUGUUGGGAGCAAUCUCAGUGGCUAAGCGAAAGUGAUAAGUAUCCCACCUGGGGAGUACGUUCGCAAGAAUGAAACUCAAAGGAAUUGACGGGGCCGCACAAGCGGUGGAGCAUGUGGUUUAAUUCGAUGAUACGCGAGGAACCUUACCAAGGCUUAAAUGUAGAUUGACCGGUUUGGAAACAGAUCUUUCGCAAGACAAUUUACAAGGUGCUGCAUGGUUGUCGU
rnacentral:rRNA from 1 species